GCGCCUUAUGCAUGCAAGUUGAGCGAAGCUUUUUGGUAGUUUACUACUAGAAAUGACUGAGCGGCGAACGGGUGAGUAACGCGUGAGCAAUCUACCUUAGUUACUGGGAUAGCCCGAGGAAACUCGGAUUAAUACCGGAUAUUCUUAUUUUUUCACAUGAAGUUUUAAGGAAAGGUCAGCCGAACUAAGAUGAGCUCGCGUUCUAUCAGCUAGUUGGUGGGGUAAAAGCCUACCAAGGCUACGACGGAUAGCUGGUCUGAGAGGACGAUCAGCCACACUGGGACUGAGACACGGCCCAGACUCCUACGGGAGGCUGCAGCAGGGAAUAUUGUGCAAUGAGCGAAAGCUUGACACAGCGACACCGCGUGUGGGAUGACGGUUCUAGGAUUGUAAACCACUUUCAGGAGGGAAGAAAAUGACGGUACCUCCACAAGAAGACCCGGCCAA
rnacentral:rRNA from 1 species